rnacentral:rRNA from 1 species
CCUACGGGGGGCUGCAGUGGGGAAUCUUCCGCAAUGGGCGCAAGCCUGACGGAGCAACGCCGCGUGAGUGAAGAAGGCCUUCGGGUUGUAAAACUCUGUCAUCAGGGAAGAAGAAAGUGACGGUACCUGAGGAGGAAGCCCCGGCUAACUACGUGCCAGCAGCCGCGGUAAAACGUAGGGGGCGAGCGUUGUCCGGAAUUACUGGGCGUAAAGGGCGCGUAGGCGGUUAUCCAAGUCAGGGGUGAAAACCUUGGGCUCAACUCAGGGCCUGCCUCUGAAACUGGGUAACUUGAGGGCAGGAGAGGGGAGUGGAAUUCCCAGUGUAGCGGUGAAAUGCGUAGAUAUUGGGAGGAACACCAGUGGCGAAGGCGGCUCUCUGGCCUAACCCUGACGCUGAGGCGCGAAAGCGUGGGGAUCAAACAGGAUUAGAUACCCGAGUAGUC